GGAUUGUGGCUCAGUGGUAGAGCGCUCGCUUAGCAUGCACAGGGCCCUGGGUUUGAUCCUCAGCACCA
rnacentral:tRNA from 1 species